rnacentral:rRNA from 1 species
GACGAACGCUGGCGGCGUGCUUAACACAUGCAAGUCGAACGGAAAGGCCCUGCUUUUGUGGGGUGCUCGAGUGGCGAACGGGUGAGUAACACGUGAGUAACCUGCCCUUGACUUUGGGAUAACUUCAGGAAACUGGGGCUAAUACCGGAUAGGAGCUCCUGCUGCAUGGUGGGGGUUGGAAAGUUUCGGCGGUUGGGGAUGGACUCGCGGCUUAUCAGCUUGUUGGUGGGGUAGUGGCUUACCAAGGCUUUGACGGGUAGCCGGCCUGAGAGGGUGACCGGCCACAUUGGGACUGAGGUACGGCCCAGACUCCUACGGGAGGCAACAGUGGGGGAAAUUGCACAAUGGGCGGAAGCCUGAUGCAGAAACGCCGCGUGCGGUAUGACGGCCUUCGGGUUGUAAACCGCUUUAGCCUGUGACGAAGCGUGAGUGACGGUAAUGGGUAAAGAAGCACCGGCUAACUACGUG